rnacentral:lncRNA from 1 species
CGCUAACAGAGUGAUUCGCACUAUAUGGACUGAAACCAGGAGGUUCCCCGUAAGCAUAAGCACCAUAAGAAGGUGGUGGUGGUGCAGCACCAUAGGUAGGUGGUGGUGGUGCAGCACCAUAGGUAGGUGGUGGUGGUGCAGCACCAUAGGUAGGUGGUGGUGGUGCAGCACCAUAGGUAGGUGGUGGUGGUGCAGCACCAUAAGUAGGUGGUGGUGGUGCAACGCCAUGAAAAGGUGGUGGUGCAGCACCAUAAAAAGGUGGUGGUGCAGCACCAUAAAAAGAUGGUGGUGCAGCACCAUAAAUAGAUGGUGGUGGUGGAGUAAAUGCAUAAGGAUGAACAUAGGCACCAAAGUGAGUUGGUGAUGGUCCCGAUGGGUAAUAAGGAGGUGGUGUUGAUGAAUAAUAAGGAUGCUGCGGCCCAUAAGCAUAAUAAGGAGAAG